GUUAGAAGUGUUUUGUGAAAGAAGAGAGGUGAUUAAAGAGAGGCAAAGCUUAUUCAAGAGGUUGUGAGACUUAUGAAAAGUCUUAUAAGUAAAGUUGAGAGUGAUUGAAGAGUGUAAACAUUAAAAGGGCAUUCUAGGUUUCUAAGGCAGUAACAUCUUCUUCUUGAUUUUUAGAGUUCAUUCUUCUCUUUUCUUGAUUUUCUUUGAUACACCUUUUUUUUAGACAUGGCUGUAAAUGAAGGUGAAGGUUUGAGAGUAAUUGAGAAGUUUAGGAAUGAUAAUUUCUACCAUUGGAAGAAAAAAAUAGAGCUCUUGUUGGCUUCAUUUGAUCUUUGGGACAUUGUUGAUGAAAGUGAAGACCCUCCAAGUGAUGAUGCUUAUGUGAAGGUGAAGGAAGAGUACAAAUGACGUGAAAGGAAGGCUUUUGGCAUGAUUGCAACAAAUCUUGAUGAUGCCAA
rnacentral:lncRNA from 1 species